rnacentral:pre_miRNA from 1 species
AUAUGAAUCACUCAGGAAUCUUUCUAAGAUGCAGACUCUGAUUCAGUAAGUCUGAGAAGGGGCCUGAGAGUCUGCCUUUCUGGCAAGUUCUUAGGUGAUGCCCAC